rnacentral:rRNA from 1 species
CCUAACACAUGCAAGUCGAACGGUAACAGGAAGAAGCUUGCUUCUUUGCUGACGAGUGGCGGACGGGUGAGUAAUGUCUGGGAAACUGCCUGAUGGAGGGGGAUAACUACUGGAAACGGUAGCUAAUACCGCAUAACGUCGCAAGACCAAAGAGGGGGACCUUCGGGCCUCUUGCCAUCGGAUGUGCCCAGAUGGGAUUAGCUAGUAGGUGGGGUAACGGCUCACCAAGGCGACGAUCCCUAGCUGGUCUGAGGGGAUGACCAGCCACACUGGAACUGAGACACGGUCCAGACUCCUACGGGAGGCAGCAGUGGGGAAUAUUGCACAAUGGGCGCAAGCCUGAUGCAGCCAUGCCGCGUGUAUGAAGAAGGCCUU